UCGCGGAGCAGUCGAGCGGCUGGAGAGGUCCUACGCGACCACCUGGAAGGGGUUGAAGAGCCAUCGAGGACGAAGAAGGCUGCCCUCGCUCCGAGCCUCUGUCGCCCAUUUACCGGGCUGACUCGCGACUCGCCUCUUUCGAAAAUGUUACGGUUAACUUUCCUGCCUGAUGGAACAUCGACAAAUUGCUCAUCGACGAUCACACGAGCGGCAAAAGGGCGAGUGUUUCGCUAACCGACCGGGAAGAGGAAGUCGAACGGUUGGAGCCUCCCAAUUCACUGUUAUCUCGGUGAAAAAUUAAUACCAGCGUUGAUCCUCGAGCACAGAUAUCGCACGAUAUCCAACCCUUGACCACAACCGCUGAUCGGUCUAUCAUUUCGAUCGAGAAACGCAAUGGAGAAGCGGGCUCGCGGUCGGCGCAGAAAAGUCGUAAUUGCACCGAUUGCACAGCGGCUGGCCGUCAUUAACGCGGCCGCCAAAGGGCGGACCUAAGAGCUGACAGAGCCAACCUGACGGGAGGGAAGGACUAGAGAAUGACGCAGGGAAAGUAGGAAACGGAGGAAAUAAUAAUAUCGGAAAUAAAAACCUGUCAGAACGGGUAGAACAGAGGCACGUUUUUGGACUACAUCCUCUACAUGAAACGAUACAGACACGUCGGUCGAGCAGGUUACAAGAUUUCAUGUGUCCCACGUCCACUGAUGAACGCACGCUUCGGAGCAAAAUUAUGAUCGUACUUUGAACGGUGAUGUUCUGUUCCCUCUUCCGUUUCUUUGCGAAUUGGUCACGGUUUCGCAAAACGGUAAUCGCCAAACAAUUUCUCGGAAUAUCACGGACGAUCGAGGGCGUAAUGACGUCGCGGAAUCGCCUGCAGAAAGAUCGCGGGAAUUAAUUUACCCGGGUUAUGUUUGGCUGUCGUCGGGUGUCAGCCCCAAGGGCUACCCACUAAAAACACUCGUCCACCUAAGCUACAAGGGAAGGUUCAUGAAACCCUCAAAAGGCGACAACAUGCUCCCGAUUGCGUGAGGCUGACAAACAGUUGGGAGCAGAAUUGCGUUGCGGUUCGUCUGUCAUGUGUCUCGGAAAUCCGCCGCAUUUGUCUUUCCUUUCUUUCGGUCGUUGUUCUUCCCUUUUCAAUCUGGCUGGCCGAGGAAAUCACAGGAUCGCCGGUCGUCGAUGAUGCCCGAAGCGGCGGCAGGAGUAUCGACCAGGCACCAGCUGGCCGGAGCAGACCGGGAUCACGAAAUCCUUCGACGCGAGGAGUGCACGCGCGUGCAGGCCACGAUGCAUAAUGCGCCUAAUGCGUUUGCAACAUAUGGAGGAGCGGGCCGCGCGCGGUUUCCUUUGUAGGCCGAGGAACACGAGUUCGUGGUUUCUCGAUUUUACGUCGAGAUUAGCGGCGACCAUCCUUCCUCUGGCCACUUUUCAGCUGAAUCUUCGCCAAUCAAACGGUAAAUUCGAAUUUUGUGAAUUGCAACCGUAUCAUUGGAAACGGUAGAAAUUGGACGACCUGUUUGAAGAGGAUUUUUACGAUAUUGUUGCGACGGUUUGAAGAUGUAUCGUUGCGGCAGCGUGAAGAUAUUCCGCAACGAUGUGAAGCUGCUUCUUCGUACGAGCGAAAGAGAGGUCCUGAUGUUCCGGUUCCCAUUCAAGAGCCGGAAGUUAUUUGAAUAGCGAAAACAGUGACAUAGCUUGUGCAAUUCGGACGUUCCAAAA